rnacentral:lncRNA from 10 species
CCAGGAUCAGAGGGAGAGACUGACCCUGUGACCAUUUCCCCAAAGGCGGCCUUUGGCCACUCCGUGCACUGGAGCACAUGACCCUCUGCCUCGCCCCUGCCACAUUAACCAGGCGGCUAUCUUAUGUGCCCAUGUUACAUGCUCAUGAUAAAGCUGCAUUUCCUGAGGGGACACCAAUGGAUACACCUCUGCCUGGCACGCAGCUUAGAGGCUAAAUGUAUGAAAAGCAACACCAUGCAAAUCAUUUUGAAACUGCUGUGGAACUCUCACGGGACCCUCCAUUCUAGACAUCCAGUCCCACUAGUGAUCUGACCAUGAAACCUACUAAGAGACUUCCAGAAGAAGAUGACCUCUGAAAGGAGAAAACUUUCUUCCAAGCUUCUGUGGAACAAGAAGAUGCCAUCCCUUUGGUGGAGCCCAAAGGGAAACCAGGUAGUUAGCAAGAGAAACUGUUGUUAUCAUCUAUGAAAGGUGCUUCCUGGGGUUUCAGAGGAGGGUGCAGAAGGGGAACAGUGAGUCUGGAGGGACAGAUGGAACAUUCCUGCAAUGCUAUCAAUCCAUAUCUGACCCUCAAUUCAUGAAACUUUCCAGACAACCCACCCUGACAGAUCCCUCUCUUCUUAGAGCUCUCACGUACCUUUCUUUUAGCAUUUAACAUUCAUAACCUCAAAUGAAUGAUUUCUAUGCAUGAGUCAUUUCCUGAGUAGACUGUCAG